rnacentral:rRNA from 1 species
UUCCUACGGGACGCAGCAGUGAGGAAUAUUGGUCAAUGGGCGCGAGCCUGAACCAGCCAAGUCGCGUGAGGGAUGACGGUCCUACGGAUUGUAAACCUCUUUUGCCGGGGAGCAAGCGUGCGUUCGUGAACGCGCGUCGAGAGUACCCGGAGAAAAAGCAUCGGCUAACUCCGUGCCAGCAGCCGCGGUAAUACGGAGGAUGCGAGCGUUAUCCGGAUUUAUUGGGUUUAAAGGGUGCGUAGGCGGAUUUUUAAGUCAGCGGUAAAAUGUCCGGGCUCAACCCGGGCCGGCCGUUGAAACUGGGG